GCCCCUCAGGAGCAGGUAGACAUAGCUGGGCACUGCUCUCUGGAGCAGGGAGAGGGAGGUGCCUGUCCCUGCCUACUCAGCUGUUGGGAGGCCCCAUCUGCAGAAAACUAGCUGCUCAGGUGUAUCUUGGUUGACUGUCAUGUAUGAAAACCAGAGAAUGCCUUGUAUUGCCUAGGAUUUCUUUCACGUUAGAUAACAUUACUCUAGAAGAAGGUAAAGCAGGUAAACGAGGGAUGAAACUUGUGACUUCAUUGCAUCCCUGUUUCCUGCAGUGUAGUGGGAUUUGUGGUGCUUUCUCUGCUGAAAAGUACGCAGUGUUUUCACACUUCCAUUCACACACAGCCAUUUUCCUUGCAUCCUUAUUUUCUCCUACAAAAUCAGGUAAGGGCAGCAGACCUGCAUUUCGGGUCAUUGUGGUAAAUAAUGAGCUGCUGUGAACUCACCUCUGAGUCCUGGUGUGCACUGGGAGGUGUGAGGAGAGUGAGCCAAGCUAAGUGUGGAUGAGGGUGUUGGGUCUGUCUCUCUUGGCAAAUGCUGUAACGCAACAGAGAAGAGAAUAAGGGUGCAAUGUCAGCACACUUUUCUGUUCCGUAAUGUGAAGGAAGAGUUGUGUUCCUUAGGGAAGGAGCCCAGAAGGUAAUCCUGUCCUGAACAGGAUCCCUUAGAUGUCAGGCUGCUUCUAAGCACAGUGUCAUCAAGUGAUUUCAGAGAUCAACAAACGCAUUAUUUGAUUCAAAGAAAGCUGAAGGCUUGGAUAGUGGUAUGUCAUAAAUACAGCGAGCAGACAGGACACCAAGUGAGGUAACCUGAAGGGCCGGCCAUCUAGAAAAGGCCAAUUUUACCUUACCUUCAGAAGGUGGAACCACAUCCAGAUGGUCUGCAGAGAAUUCCAGAGAGUUUCUGCUCAGUAAAUAACAUUGUAGUCAUACAUGCAACUUUGCACAGAACUUGGUGUUUGCUUGUGCAUUCAGAGCCCUGAGGGACCUUGGUAAGCAGCAUGGCAAUGCAGACAUUGUGGGGGCUCUGCUCAUUUUGUUUCUGCUUCAGUAUGUGCAGCAUACUUGACAUGUUAAUUUUGGCUUCUGUUUUUAGGACAGUUUUUCCACCCCAUUGACUUUGCCAUACUUGAAAUGCAUCCUGGGUCUGAUCCCAAGAAACCAGAUGCCACAAUGAUAUUUAAAAACAAGGAACUGAUAGUAACAAGGGGCUGGCAGAAGGAUUACAGAAGAGAUCCUGAGCAUGGCCUCGAUGUUCCCUGCUGGUUUGUUCAUAACAAUGGAGCUGGGCUAAUAGAUGGUGUUCAUACGGACUACGUUGCUUCCAGUCUGUUUUAAACAGCAGCACCUUCCAAAGUCGUGGGUGCACAGAGUAUUUUUUUCUGGAAAAACAGUACUUUUCACUGCUGAAGAAGUGUUAAAAAUACUCAAUCUUGCCAUGUGUGACAGUGCCAAGAUCGACCAGAGUCAGAUCUUGAGAGGGAAACUGCGGUUCUGCCUGUGUGCACAGACAUCCCCAAUCCCCUAGCACGUUCCUCCAAUUUGUAAUUAGUAGCUGAGUGUCAGGAGCAAUUUAAAUAAAAGCAUCAACAUUUCA